GCCUGGGUGGCUCAGUCGGUUAAGCAUCUGACUUCAGCUCAGGUCAUGAUCUCACAGUUUGUGAGUUUGAGCCCCGCAUCGGGCU
rnacentral:tRNA from 1 species